rnacentral:misc_RNA from 1 species
GAAAUGCGAUAAGUAGUGUGAAUUGCAGAAUUCAGUGAAUCAUCGAAUCUUUGAACGCACAUUGCGCCCUUUGGUAUUCCAAAGGGCAUGCCUGUUCGAGCGUCAUUUGUACCCUCAAGCUUUGCUUGGUGUUGGGCGUCUUGUCUCUAGCUUUGCUGGAGACUCGCCUUAAAGUAAUUGGCAGCCGGCCUACUGGUUUCGGAGCGCAGCACAAGUCGCACUCUCUAUCAGCAAAGGUCUAGCAUCCAUUAAGCCUUUUUUCAACUUUUGACCUCGGAUCAGGUAUGGAUACCCGCUGAACUUAGGC